rnacentral:rRNA from 1 species
CCUCGGGGGGCUGCAGUGGGGAAUAUUGGACAAUGGGGGGAACCCUGAUCCAGCCAUGCCGCGUGUGUGAAGAAGGCCCUCGGGUUGUAAAGCACUUUCAGUGAGGAAGAACGCCUGGUGGUUAAUACCCAUCAGGAAAGACAUCACUCACAGAAGAAGCACCGGCUAACUCCGUGCCAGCAGCCGCGGUAAUACGGAGGGUGCGAGCGUUAAUCGGAAUUACUGGGCGUAAAGCGCGCGUAGGUGGCUUGAUAAGCCGGUUGUGAAAGCCCCGGGCUCAACCUGGGAACGGCAUCCGGAACUGUCAAGCUAGAGUGCAGGAGAGGAAGGUAGAAUUCCCGGUGUAGCGGUGAAAUGCGUAGAGAUCGGGAGGAAUACCAGUGGCGAAGGCGGCCUUCUGGACUGACACUGACACUGAGGUGCGAAAGCGUGGGUAGCAAACAGGACUAGAUACCCUGGUAGUC